rnacentral:rRNA from 1 species
UACAGAGGGUGCGAGCGUUAAUCGGAAUUACUGGGCGUAAAGGGCGCGUAGGUGGUUAGUUAAGAUUGAUGUGAAAUCCCUGGGCUUAACCUAGGAAUGGCAUCGAUGACUGGCUAGCUGGAGUACUGUAGAGGGUAGUGGAAUUUCCGGUGUAGCGGUGAAAUGCGUAGAGAUCGGGAGGAACAUCAGUUGCGAAGGCGGCUCUCUGGACCAGCACUGACACUGAGGCACGAAAGCGUGGGGAGCAAACAGG